GCGGGAGUGCCAGAGUCUGGAAAAUGGGUUGGACUCAAAAUCCAAUAGCUUAGUGCUUACGCAGGUUCAAAUCCUGUCUCCCGCA
rnacentral:tRNA from 1 species